CAGUAGCCGCGGUAAUACGAGGGGGGCAAGCGUUGUUCGGAAUUAUUGGGCGUAAAGGGUGCGUAGGCGGUUUGACAAGUCUUGUGUGAAAUCUCUGGGCUCAACCCAGAGUCUGCACGGGAAACUGUCGGGCUAGAGGAUGGGAGAGGUGAGUGGAAUUUCCGGUGUAGCGGUGAAAUGCGUAGAUAUCGGAAGGAACACCUGUGACGAAGGCGGCUCACUGGACCAUUUCUGACGCUGAUGCACGAAAGCUAGGGGAGCAAACAGGACUAGAUACCCCCGUAGUCCCUGUCUCUUAUAC
rnacentral:rRNA from 1 species